rnacentral:ncRNA from 1 species
GAUAGAGGUGCGGAGAGCUCGUGUAGGACGACGGAGGCAGCCGGUGCCGUUGAAGCGUCUGAAUAGACUCACCGCCGAAGGAGAAAGCUCGGCACGCUUUUUUCCUGGGCGCAUGGUAAAGCUGCCAUGUGACUGUCAUCAUGAAACAUUGAUGGGGAGCUAUCGU